CGCUUCGUAGCUCAACAGGUAAGAGCGAUUGCGUUUGAAUCUGUUUGAUUUAUCUCAAAUAAGAACAAUGUAAGUCGGAAGGCUGGUAGUUCGAAUCUACCCGAAGCGA
rnacentral:tRNA from 1 species